rnacentral:rRNA from 1 species
UACGUAGGGUGCAAGCGUUAAUCGGAAUUACUGGGCGUAAAGCGUGCGCAGGCGGUUUUGUAAGUCUGACGUGAAAUCCCCGGGCUUAACCUGGGAAUUGCGUUGGAGACUGCAAGGCUGGAGUCUGGCAGAGGGGGGUAGAAUUCCACGUGUAGCAGUGAAAUGCGUAGAGAUGUGGAGGAACACCUAUGGCGAAGGCAGCUCUCUGGGACGGUACUGACGCUGAGACGCGAAAGCGUGGGGAGCGAACAGG